rnacentral:lncRNA from 1 species
UCAUUUCUAAAAUUCUCUAGAUUAGGGAAUCACUAUCCAUUGCUAUCUUAAUCUAUUGGCACGAUUGAGAGGUGACCUUUGGAGUUUCAGUCAGCCUUACGUGGUGUGCCUGUAGCGUAAGAAACCCUGCUGGAAUUUGCCCUUCGAAACCGACGGGUGGUGAAACUGUAUCUCGGAGUCUGACUCUGCCUACCAAUCAUGAUUCCAAGGACCAAUCUGAAGCCGAUAAUCAAGAACUUCCAAUGAUCCGGAUUUGGGCCGCCCGCACCAUGUUUAUUAUUUAUUAGUUUUAAUGGGUCAUACAUUUUAUGUUUUUAUUUGUUAUUCGAAUUGGGCCGCAGGCCAACAAACACUUAUGGGUCCAGUAUGUUAUAGAGUCCACUAGGUUAACUUGAUGUUUGGGCCUAAUUUGUGAAGCAGCAUGUAUGAGGGAUAUAACCGCAUGAGUGGUUAACUUGGAAACGACACAACGUUUCCAGGCGACGUACCUCUUCAUCAUGCAACGGUUCAUCAUGUAUUAUAUAGGGUUUCAAACCUUAGUCAAUUUAUGCAAGUUUCGUUUGGAAAACA